AUUCUACUCCCUCCGUCCGGAAAUACUCGUCGAAGAAAUACAUAAAAAUGAAUGUAUUUGAAACUAAAAUACAUCUAGAUACAUCCAUUCCUCCGACGAGUAUUUCCGGACAGAGGGAGUAAUAA
rfam:Triticum aestivum genome assembly, contig: Triticum_aestivum_CS42_TGACv1_scaffold_271475_3DS